CUAGCGUUACUGCUUUCCCGCUCUAUUCCCUGGCGGCCAACUAAUUUUGCGGAAGAAUCUCCCGGGUGAGGAUAGGGUAGAUGGAUAUUUCCUGUCAGUGACGUGUCUAAAUGUCUAAGUGGUUCGAGGAGAAUUACCUAUAUAAGAUUUAGGAAAAUCUUGGGUUAAUUAACCUCGCGACUCACUGUUCCCUAGGCCAGAGCUCUAACCUAACUCGCGCACGCGUGGUUAAGGUUCACACGCGGGAUGUACUUUGCGAUACUUAAGACUUCCUAUUUGUUUAUAUAAAUAUCUCACUAAUCACCUUUUUUUUUAUUUUAUAAAUAUUUCUUUUUUUUUUUUUUUUUAUUUUCUUAAAGAAAAGGAACCGAAUUGAACGUCCGUCUAUAUGUCCCGGUGUAUUUUACUGUACUUCGUCGGAAUAUCACCAAAUAUACCCUAGCACCCCAGGCGUGGUGGUGCUAAUGCUGCUUCUCCCUCGUUGGAUGGAGUCUUGUUGCAGUGGCUUUGCAGGUUGGUUUGAUUAGUUUUUUUUUUUAUUUUUUUAUUUUUAUAUUUUAAGAUUUAGUUUUAAGUUUAGCUUUAAGUUUAGCUUUAAGUUUAGCUUUAAGUUUAAAAAAAAAAUCUUUUGUUUAAUAAAAUUUACUUAUUUUGUUUAAAAAAAAUCAAAAA